AUUGAACGCUGGCGGCAGGCCUAACACAUGCAAGUCGAACGAGUGGCGGACGGGUGAGUAAUGUCUGGGAAACUGCCUGAUGGAGGGGGAUAACUACUGGAAACGGUAGCUAAUACCGCAUACCAUCAGAUGUGCCCAGAUGGGAUUAGCUGGUUGGUGGAGUAACGGCGCACCAAGGCGACGAUCCCUAGCUGGUCUGAGAGGAUGACCAGCCACACUGUAACUUGGACACGGUCCAGAAUCCAACGGGAGGCAGCAGUGGGGAAUAUUGCACAAGUGGCGCAAUCCUGAUGCAGCCAUGACGCGGAUAUGAAGAAGGCCUUCGGGUUUUAAAGUACUUUCAGCGGGGAGGCGUUACCCGCAGAAGAAGCACCGGCUAACGCCGUGCCAGCAGCCGCGGUAAUAC
rnacentral:rRNA from 1 species